rnacentral:rRNA from 1 species
GACGAACCGUGCAAACGUUGUUCGGAUUCACUGGGCUUAAAGGGCGCGUAGGCGGCGCGGUAAGUCGGGUGUGAAAUCUCGGAGCUUAACUCCGAAACUGCAUUCGAUACUGCCGUGCUUGAGGACUGGAGAGGAGACUGGAAUUUACGGUGUAGCGGUGAAAUGCGUAGAUAUCGUAAGGAAGACCAGUGGCGAAGGCGGCGCUCUGGGCCGGUACUGACACUGAGGAGCGAAAGCGUGGGUAGCAAACAGG